AAUCCAAUUCAAUUGGACUUGAUCCAAAAAUAAUUACUCAAUCAAAUUGAGUUAAUUAGUGAUCAAAUCACUAAUUAAACCUCUCAUAAAUAUUGAGUCCAAAUUUGAUGGGUAAUCGGGCAUCAAAAUUCAUCGAUAUGUAACCCUGAUCGAAGAAUCCCAACCAGUGGGACUCUUGACCCCGGUACCCAUAAUGUGUGGAACUCGUGAUCAGAGAAUCCUGAUUCUCGAUCACUGAGUCCCAAACAUGUAGGAUUCUACAUCAGCCAUUAGAU
rnacentral:lncRNA from 1 species